UCCCAGUUCACCUGGGCAGUCUCGUUAGAGUUCCCACCAUUACGUGUUGGCAACUAACGAUAAGGGUUGCGCUCGUUGCGGGACUUAACCCAACACCUCACGGCACGAGCUGACGACAGCCAUGCAGCACCUGUGCACCAGCCCCGAAGGGAGUCGGCAUUUCUGCCGAUGUCUAGUGCAUGUCAAGCCUGGGUAAGGUUCUUCGCGUUGCAUCGAAUUAAACCACAUGCUCCACUGCUUGUGCGGGUCCCCGUCAAUUCUUUUGGGUUUCAGCCUUGCGACUGUACUCCCCAGGCGGUAUACUUAUCGCGUUAGCUUCGGCACAACCAGGGUUGAGUCCGGUUACACCAAGUAUACAUCGUUUAGGGCAAGGACUAC
rnacentral:misc_RNA from 1 species